rnacentral:tRNA from 1 species
UCAUUGAUGCAAAAAGGCAUCUUUUCCGCCUCCUAAGCGGUAGGUCGCGCGUUCGAUUCGCGCUCGGGGCACCA